rfam:Trichomalopsis sarcophagae strain Alberta scaffold707, whole genome shotgun sequence.
CUGGAGAUUGAUACGCAAGUGCGAGGUAGCUUUAUCACACUUUGCCACAAAAUCUCCAAAGAAUAAAGAGCUUUCUGAUGACUGUAACUUGUCAAGUGUUAAUUUACAGACAGAUACGGAGCUUACAUUA